rnacentral:rRNA from 1 species
CUUGGUCAUUUAGAGGAAGUAAAAGUCGUAACAAGGUUUCCGUAGGUGAACCUGCGGAAGGAUCAUUAGUGAAUAUAGGACGUCCAACUUAACUUGGAGUCCGAACUCUCACUUUCUAACCCUGUGCACUUGUUUGGGAUAGUAACUCUCGCAAGAGAGCGAACUCCUAUUCACUUAUAAACACAAAGUCUAUGAAUGUAUUAAAUUUUAUAACAAAAUAAAACUUUCAACAACGGAUCUCUUGGCUCUCGCAUCGAUGAAGAACGCAGCGAAAUGCGAUAAGUAAUGUGAAUUGCAGAAUUCAGUGAAUCAUCGAAUCUUUGAACGCACCUUGCGCUCCAUGGUAUUCCGUGGAGCAUGCCUGUUUGAGUGUCAUGAAUACUUCAACCCUCCUCUUUCUUAAUGAUUGAAGAGGUGUUUGGUUUCUGAGCGCUGCUGGCCUUUACGGUCUAGCUCGUUCGUAAUGCAUUAGCAUCCGCAAUCGAACUUCGGAUUGACUUGGCGUAAUAGACUAUUCGCUGAGGAAUUCUAGUCUUCGGACUAGAGCCGGGUUGGGUUAAAGGAAGCUUCUAAUCAGAAUGUCUACAAUUUUAAGAUUAGAUCUCAAAUCAGGUAGGACUACCCGCUGAACUUAAGCAUAUCAAUGAGCGGAGGA